rnacentral:sRNA from 1 species
AUGGGCGAAGGGCGUCAGCAGCGGCGGGCUCCGGUCGGGAAGCUCCUUCUGCUCCCCGGGAGGAGAGAUACACCCCAUGGGCGGUCAGGCAGCAGCGGCGCCAGGACGCAGCGCUCCCUGCUCUGGCUCUUGGUGCACGUGUGGCUGUGGGCGGCCUCGGGCUCCUCUGCCCAGUUGUUCAACCUCACCCUUUCCGUAGAUGAGGGGCUUCCCCCGGACACGCUGGUAGGUGACAUCCGCGCCGGGCUGCCGGCCGCGCAGCAGCAGGAGGGGAGCGGCUUCUUUCUGUCGGAGGACUCCGAUGACUCCCCGCUGCUGGACGACUUCCACGUGCACCCGGACACCGGCAUCAUCCGCACUGCGCGGCGCCUGGACCGCGAGCGGCGGGACCACUACAGCUUCGUCGCCGCCACGCUGCUGGGCGCUGUGGUGCAGGUGGAGAUUCGCGUCAACGACGUGAAUGACCACUCGCCCCGCUUUCCCCUCGACUCCCUGCAACUCGACGUCUCCGAGCUCAGCCCGCCAGGGACCGCCUUCCGCCUGCCAGGUGCCCACGAUCCCGACGCCGGACUGUUCAGCACUCAGGGCUACACCCUGGUGCAACCGUCCGACCUGCCCAAGGACCCCGCAGGCCCGUUCUUCCAGUUGCGCUACCGGACUCCGGGGCCACUACCGUCACCGCUUUUGCCAGGCUCCUCGUCACCCCUGGAGCCUCUAGAUCUGGUGCUGCUGCGGCGCUUGGACCGAGAGGAGGCGGCGGCGCACCGGCUGCAGAUCGAGGCAUGGGACGGCGGCCGACCCCGGCGCACCGGCCUCCUGAGCGUGGAGCUGCGCGUGCUGGAUGAGAACGACAACCCGCCGGUCUUUGAGCAGGACGAGUACCGCGCCGCGGUGCGCGAGGACGCCCAGCCGGGCGCCGAGGUCUGUCGCGUGCGCGCCACCGACCGCGACCUGGGGCCCAAUGGCUUCGUGCGCUACAGCGUCCGCGCCCGGCAAGUGCCUGGGGCGGGUAGCGGCGGCGGGGCACUGGGCGACGCGGCCUACUUCGCGGUGGAGGAGCUGAGCGGCGUGGUGCGAGUGCGGAGACCUCUGGACCGCGAGGCACAGGCCUGGCACCAGUUGGUGGUGGAGGCCCGCGAUGGAGGCGCCGAGCCUGAGGUUGCCACGGUGCGCGUGUCCAUCGCCGUGCUGGACGUGAAUGACAACCGGCCAGCAAUUCACGUGCUCUUUCUCACAGAGGGAGGCGUCGCCCGUGUCUCUGAAGGCGCCCGACCGGGCGACUACGUGGCUCGCGUCUCGGUGUCUGACGCGGACGGUGACUGGGAGAAGGAAGAUGAGGCCACAGGGGAGCUUGGUGUGGGUCUUGGAGACGGGAGCAUCUCGCUGUCCUUGGAAGGCGGAGAGGGAGACUUCGCGUUGCUGCCCGGCGGCCCCCCAGGGGUAUUUUUCCUUUGCGUGGAGGGGCCCCUGGACAGAGAGAGCCGCGAUCUGUAUGAGUUACUACUGGUGGCCACGGACGCGGGGUCCCCGCCGCUGAGCACGGAGGAGACGCUGCUACUCCGGGUCGCUGACCUCAAUGACCAACCACCUCUCUUCAGCCAACAGCAUUACAAGGCCUCAGUGUCCGAGGCCGCGGCCCCUGGCACUGUAGUCAUGUGGGUCAGCGCCUCCGAUGCCGACGAGGCAGGCAGUGAUCACGCCUGGCUGCGCUACACUGUAGUCCAACUCUCGGCUCCCUGCAAUCUCGGCUCCCUGCAAUCAAAGAUGGUCCACACCGCAGAGUGUGGACCAUCUUUUGCCAUUGAUUCCGAAAGCGGUGCGAUCAGCACUAUCCGGACUCUAGACCGAGAGGUCCAGGAGGCGGUGGAGCUGAAAGUGGUGGCCCAGGACCUCGGAGAGCCCCCACUCUCUGCCACCUGCCUGGUGAGCAUCACCGUAGAUGAUGUGAAUGACAAUGAGCCCAUCUUCUGGAGGCAGGUGUACAAUGCCACCAUUGCAGAGCAUGCCCCGGUUGGACACUGCUUUCUGCAGCUUAUAUCUGCUCAAGUUGCCUUUGUCAAAAUCAAACAAAAACAAAAGGAAAUACAGGAAAAACAAAAUCUUGCCUAG